rnacentral:rRNA from 1 species
CCUACGGGUGGCAGCAGUCGAGAAUCAUUCACAAUGGGGGAAACCCUGAUGGUGCGACGCCGCGUGGGGGAAUGAAGGUCUUCGGAUUGUAACUUCUUGUCACGUGGGAGCAAAUUAAAAGGUUACUACCACAAGAGGCACAGAUGGCUACCUCCGGGCAAGCAGCCGCGGUAGUACAGAGGUCUCAAGCGUUGUUCGGACUGACGGGGCGUAAAGGGUGCGCAGGCUGUUUCGUAAGUCGUGUGUGAAAGGCGCGGGCUCAACCCGCGGACGGCACAUGAUACUGUGUGAAUUGAGUAAUGGAGAGGCAGGCGGAAUUCUCGGUGUAGCGGUGAAAUGCGUAGAUAUCGGGAGGAACACUCGUGGCGAAGGCGGGUUCCUGGACGUUAACUGACGCUGAGGCGCGAAGGCCAGGGGAGCGAAAGGGAUUAGAUACCCGAGUAGUC